AGGAAACAGCCACAGGGAAGGGAACCCCUAAGCCACUUUGGGAGCCACAUCCACCACUUCUCUGCCCCUGACCCAGGCUGGUUCCUAGCCCUUAGGGUCCUACUGCGGACCUCCCGGCCAUAAUUAACGCAGGUGCAGGACCAGAGAGCCCCUUGGUCCCUCCCAACACAUGAGGGAACUUUGUGUGGUGAGGUCAGCCCAGGCUGGAAUGCUGUGACUCGAUCUGGGCUCACUGCAACCUCCACUUCCCGGGUUCAAGCGAUUCUCCUGCCUCAGCCUCCCGAGUAGAUGAAAUUACAGACAACCGCCACCACGCCCGGCUAAUUUUUGCAUUUUUUAGUAGAGAUUGGGUUUCACCAUGUGGGCCAGGCUGGUCUCGAACUCCUGAACUCAAGUGAUCUGCCCGCCUUGGCCACCCAAAAUGCUGGGAUUGCAGGCGUGAGCCACUGCGCCCGGCCUGAAUCCAUUUUAACACUGAGUUUUUCAGAUUAACUCGAAGUACCCCACAACUACACGCUAAUGAAACUAGAGGAGGCACAGCCUCAGCUCCGUGCAGGAUGGAUGCACAAGAGCAGAAUCUCCAUGGGACGCCUUUCUGGAGCAUCAGUAUUACUGCAGGAUUUGGAAGCAACAAGUUCAAAUAAUUUUCAACGUUAACACACUGGAAAUUUAAGAGAAGUCUGGAAACUCAUCUACCUUUAAAAACUGUCAGUCAUCUGUGCCUAAGUCAGACUUUCUCCAAGAAAAAAAAAAAAAGAAACUCUAAGGAGACCCUAUUUUUUAUUCUUCUAAGUAGUUAAAAUUA
rnacentral:lncRNA from 10 species